UGCUUGCACCGGGUGGAUGAGUGGCGAACGGGUGAGUAACACGUGAGUAACCUGCCCCUGACUUCGGGAUAAGCCCGGGAAACUGGGUCUAAUACCGGAUACGACUGCCGGACGCAUGUCUGGUGGUGGAAAGUUUUUUCGGUUGGGGAUGGGCUCGCGGCCUAUCAGUUUGUUGGUGAGGUAAUGGCUCACCAAGACGACGACGGGUAGCCGGCCUGAGAGGGCGACCGGCCACACUGGGACUGAGACACGGCCCAGACUCCUACGGGAGGCAGCAGUGGGGAAUAUUGCACAAUGGGGGAAACCCUGAUGCAGCGACGCAGCGUGCGGGAUGACGGCCUUCGGGUUGUAAACCGCUUUCAGCAGGGAAGAAGCGCAAGUGACGGUACCUGCAGAAGAAGUACCGGCUAACUACGUGCCAGCAGCCGCGGUAAUACGUAGGGUACGAGCGUUGUCCGGAAUUAUUGGGCGUAAAGAGCUCGUAGGUGGUUGGUCACGUCUGCUGUGGAAACGCAACGCUUAACGUUGCGCGUGCAGUGGGUACGGGCUGACUAGAGUGCAGUAGGGGAGUCUGGAAUUCCUGGUGUAGCGGUGAAAUGCGCAGAUAUCAGGAGGAACACCGGUGGCGAAGGCGGGACUCUGGGCUGUAACUGACACUGAGGAGCGAAAGCAUGGGGAGCGAACAGGAUUAGAUACCCUGGUAGUCCAUGCCGUAAACGUUGGGCACUAGGUGUGGGGGGCAUUCCACGUUCUCCGCGC
rnacentral:rRNA from 1 species